rnacentral:rRNA from 1 species
UACGGGGGGGGCAAGCGUUGUUCGGAAUUACUGGGCGUAAAGGGCUCGUAGGCGGCCAACUAAGUCAGACGUGAAAUCCCUCGGCUUAACCGGGGAACUGCGUCUGAUACUGGUUGGCUUGAAUCCGGGAGAGGGAUGUGGAAUUCCAGGUGUAGCGGUGAAAUGCGUAGAUAUCUGGAGGAACACCGGCGGCGAAGGCGACAUCCUGGACCGGUAUUGACGCUGAGGCGCGAAAGCUAGGGGAGCGAACAGG